GGGCAGGGCACUACUUUAGACCAGAGCCCUAUGGGGUAGGGCACUACUUUAGACCAGAUCCCUAUGGAGUAGUGCACUACGUAGUGAAGAAGAAGGUGCCAUUUGGGAAACAGAAAAAUCUUGCCUGGCCAGGAACAAGUCAUUCCUCCAUGGUAACGUUGUGGUUACGGAUCGGAGAACACAACAGUGAUGCAUCAUGGUCCGUUUCCUGUGUUCUAUUCAGGAGGACUUUGUUGUGGCGAAACAAAACCACAGAGACCAUUAACUUCCCAGCUACGCCUCACCCAGGUCACAUGACAGGGGCUUGGACUCUACAAAUCUUUCAUUGGGAGUAUUUUAACCUCUUGUGUUGUUUGGUGGUUUGGUAGUAUCGCUGUCAGACAGAGAAAUAUGUUGAGAAGGAUUAUAGCCACAGACAGCAAGGUACUAGGAGACAGACAGACAGGCUUGAUGAGAUCUUUAAGGGCCCUCAGCAAGGUACUAGGAGACAGACAGACAGGCUUGAUGAGAUCUUUAAGGUCAGGGCCCUCAGCAAGGUACUAGGAGACAGGCAGACUGUGUUCCCUUCACUAAGGUGUGAUAUCUCUCCUAACCAGCUGGUUAAUGUCACUAAGGUGUGAUAUCUCUCCUAACCAGCUGGUUAAUGUUCCCUUCACUAAGGUGUGAUAUCUCUCCUAACCAGCUGGUUAAUGUCACUAAGGUGUGAUAUCUCUCCUAACCAGCUGGUUAAUGUUCCCUUCACUAAGGUGUGAUAUCUCUCCUAACCAGCUGGUUAAUGUCACUAAGGUGUGAUAUCUCUCCUAACCAGCUGGUUAAUGUCACUAAGGUGUGAUAUCUCUCCUAACCAGCUGGUUAAUGUUCCCUUCACUAAGGUGUGAUAUCUCUCCUAACCAGCUGGUUAAUGUCACUAAGGUGUGAUAUCUCUCCUAACCAGCUGGUUAAUGUUCCCUUCACUAAGGUGUGAUAUCUCUCCUAACCAGCUGGUUAAUGUCACUAAGGUGUGAUAUCUCUCCUAACCAGCUGGUUAAUGUUCCCUUCACUAAGGUGUGAUAUCUCUCCUAACCAGCUGGUUAAUGUCACUAAGGUGUGAUAUCUCUCCUAACCAGCUGGUUAAUGUUCCCUUCACUAAGGUGUGAUAUCUCUCCUAACCAGCUGGUUAAUGUCACUAAGGUGUGAUAUCUCUCCUAACCAGCUGGUUAA